GUGAAGCCAAAUGUCAACAGAAAACCACAGCUUUAUUGCUGGCAAAGCACAAAACAUGAACAGAACAACGAACACUGAGAACCGGCAACACACAGGUAUGACCUGAUGGUACGACGCGACAGAGAGCACAGGAACACACAGGGCUUAUAUACACAGGGAGGUAAUCAGGGAAUGAGAAACAGGAGGGAGACACAGCUGGGAGAAAUUGGACUAACGAGACAGGGGAGCAGUAGAACUGAACACACUCACAUGAGACACAGACCUUCACAAUAAAACAGGAAACAAGAACCCACUAAACAAAGACGCAGACAGAAUAUAACACAUGCAACUCAAACAAUACAUGAAACAACAAAUCCUUAAACACGGAUAAACAGAAACAAGAAACUAAUAAUAAUAUCUAUCAUCAUCAUCACCACCACAAGCACUACAAGAGAAUAAGAAAACAAUCCAUAAUGCAAAAACACACCAAAAUAACUGAAACACAGAUUCAUCAUAAAACCCAACAAAGCACCAGAGAAACAUAAAGAACAAUCCAUCAUUGAAAAAAAAACCCAAACCAUAACAACUCAAAAUGCUGGGUCAAACUGACCCAGAACCGUGACAUUUGGUAUUUAGAAUUUACAAUGCUCAGUAUCUAUGACAUAUGACACAAAUGACACCUGACAUUUGAGAAGCAGCCAUCAUUUGUUUUCAGUUCCUUCUAUAGAAAAUGAGAAGUUUUUUUUAAUCUGGUAGCUACGAAGUUCCCCAUACAGUAAACUAACCCCACUUUAUUAGGGCUGAGUGUUUAAGAGAAGCCUGUCGUGUGUUGACUGUUGACGGAACAUGUGACUCAAAAUGUGACUCAAAAUGUGGUGAAAACAAAAACCUCACCAAAGGUGAAUAAUCUUAAAUUGGUUUUAUGGGACUAAUAGCUUCACCUUACUUUUGUCCUUGUGAGUCAUUUCUCAUUGGUCUUCAACGAGAUGCGAGUCAGAAAAACACGAUUAAGUCACAGUUUCUGAUAAGUUCAUAAAUCAGUAUUAUAACGCUUGGGUACAUACAGAUAUCAGUACAAGCAGUAACUUAAGUAUUCCCACACUUUAACCUUUAUAACUACCUCUAACCAUAAACCUUGAAAUGUUUCUUCUUUCGUCUGUACUUUGCCAUAAUCCCCUGAGGUUUAAGUCAUCACUGAUGAUGAUCAUAACCCUUUGUAAUAAGAAUAGUAUGUAACGAUUCUCAAGUUAUUCUCAAAGCUUGACAUUGAUGGGACAAAUAGGGUUAGGGCUCGGGUUGGGGGCUAGGGGUUGGGUACCACCUGAAAGCUAGCCUAAUGAUUAACUCUAACUCUGACCCCUCAUCUUCUCUGCCCUAACCAGCUUUCGAUGAGGCUCAUGUGGUGCUGCUUUUCAAACACCCACAGAGCCUGGAGUGGAGCUCUUCUGCCUCAUCUGGAUCUUUAAUCAAUGUUUCCUGUUUUCUGUUGUUUCUCCCUUGCACAACACCAUGUAAGCAGCCUCGAGUGACCUGCUGGCCUCUACAUGGCUGUUUCUUUAUUACAAACUAUUUUAAGUCAGUAGACUGAAAGAGGGACAGUCAGCAAUAUCCAGUCAUUUCCAAACCAUGUCUACAGUUGAGGAUAGGUUCACAUCUGGCUCUUUUGAUAGAUUUUGUCCCAAUUUGCAUAUCCAAAUGAGAAAGCUUAUGAUAGUAGAACUGUUAGGCUAAAAUGCAAGCAUGGGACUUUACUAGAAAAGCACAAACUUCUAGUUCAGCUGCCAUCUUGUAUUUGCACACUUAAUAAUGAAUGUGGUUAUCAUUAACUAACAGUGACGUGAUCAUUCACCCAGCAGGACAGCUCUGACCUACAUGCAUCCAUUUCUACUGCACUACCCCAACUAUGAAUAGCUAACCUCUCCAACUUGCCCCCAUUCCAUCCCCAUUUUGAUGGAUCUGGCUGAAUUUUGGCUUGCCUGCUUCAAAUAUAGACACCGAGCUGCAUAUUAAUCAUGUGGUGUCACCACAAAACCCACUCUGAAGUUUCAUGUUUACUGUGGAUACCCCCUUUUGUAAACAACUGAUGGGUGUCAGUGCUGUGAUUACAGUAAAUGGCUGGUAAAUCUCUCUGGAUGUGAAAUUAAUCAGCAUUUUCAUGUCAGAUUCAUUCCCUUCGUUAACCACACAACAGCCACACAACAUUUAAACAAAAAUUAUCAUACAAAUUACUGCAUGAACUGUUUGCUUUGUGUGGGGAGGCUGUAGAUAUUUACCAUAUCCAGCACUCUUGUUCUUUCUGUGAUGUUUGCCAAAAAUUCACCUGAUACAUAAUAGCUGUCAGAGUUCAAGCGAUUUUUGGUGAGGAUAAUAAUGUUCAGGUGAUGAUUUGAGUUCAGACAUAACUCCACGAAGGGUGGGAUGGGUUUGUGCCAAUUUAGAGGUAUUACAGGAGACAUGUGGCAUAUGAAUGUGGCUGGAAAGCAAAUGCUGAUCAGCCACAUUAUUAAAACCAUUCACUGGUUUUAAUAAUGUUGUUGUUGUUGUUUUACAGUACAAGGUUGGACGUCAACACCAACAAUCCAGCAGCACCUGCUUCGCCUCACCUGGACCACGAGCACCGCCCCACACUGCAAAAAGCUGCUCAAAGUGCAAUGAGCUAACCUUGCACUGAAACACUCCCACUCAGUAUCCAGUAGUCAAUAGAGCACUCGUGAGAGUCCCACACCAGAACCCGCGUGUCCCAAAGAACUCCAGGUUGAGAGUCCUGACAGGUCAGAGCUGUUUGGCGGUACUAGUGGGACCUGCACAGGAUUAAACAGCUGGUUUUAAUAUCGUGACUGACUGCUCUGUGGGGUGGCUGUAGCUCAGGUGGUAGAGCAGGUCACCUACUAACCGGAAGGUUGGUGGUUUGAGCCCAGUCUGCAUGCCAAAUAUCCUGGGGCAAGAUACUAACCCCAUGUUGGUCUCCGAUGCAUCCAUCAGUGCGUGACUGUUAGAUAGGAAGCACUUAGAAACAGCAUAGGAAAAAAAAGUGCUUGUGCAAAUGGGUGAAUGUACAAGUUGUGUGAAGUGCUUGUUGUGCUCAGAGUAGAAAAGCGUGAUAUAAGAACCAGCCCAUUUACCAUCUGCAAUUAUUGGCAUAACACAAUUAUGCCACAUUUGUGUACAAGCAUAGACGAUAUGGAUGCAGCUUACUGACCAAGCUGACACCUGAGCCAAUCUCACCUUUGGCUCAAAGACGGACGCAGUGAGCGUUUGAGCGCAAACUUUGGGCCCACCACCUGCACACACCCGGCUGUAUCACACGAUGUUACAUGCGGGCUGUGCUGCAGGGUCAGAACUGCAAAGAGAAACAACUGGACGACGUUUAGGAAGACGGUGACUCCUCGUCAUCCCGGGUGCACUUUACCCUCACGCCGCUUCCUUCAGUUUGGAACCCGGACACACGGCUCAGGUGCUGCGUGUACGUCAGGUGUGCGUGCAGUGCUGGACUGAGGGAGCCCACUCGCUGCACGGACAAAGUCCACGGAGGAAACAGCGUGUACUCCACUCCACGCUCAUCAGCGCGUCUCGCUUUUUGCUAGAAAAAUCUCAAGUGCGCAGCUUAGAAAUCCACCCGACGAGAUUAGGAGCGCGCGCACGCGCACAGAGACGCGCGAGCGUUAUUUAUUCACACACACAGAGAAUCUGCUUAUCUCAUCGUUACGGCGCGUCACGGUCUACGUCACAUUUGUCAAAACAACAUCAAUGGACGACACGCGCACAUUGCAGCGACACAGUGGGACGUGUAACGCACGCGCGAACGCUCGCGCUCGCGC
ensembl:lncRNA